AACGGUUUGUUAAUUACACCAGGGAUGCCCUACAGGGCCUGGCAGAACAGUUGCAAGCCACCACACAAAUGACAUUUCAAAAUAGAAUGGCCCUAGACAUGAUAUUAGCAGAAAAGGGGGGCGUUUGCAAGAUCCUCCCCGAAACCAUGACAUGUUGCACAUUCAUUCCAGACAACACUGGGCCCAAUGGUAAAGUAACUAUGGCCAUAGAGAAACUGGACAGUCUCUCAGAUGAAUUAAAGAGGAAUUCAGGAGUCAUGGAUACUUGGGAAAGGUGGUUUGGAUGGAUGAAUGGUUGGCAGAGAACUUUAUUCCAGGUUGGGACUGCGG